UUCAUUUGCAGAUUACAACAAAACAGUGCAGGAGGAUUAUAUUUGUUAAACAAAAUGAAAACACAUUUAAGGGACAGAUAUUCUUUCCAAACACUAAUGGGAUUUUUACCUAGGUCUGCCACAGGAGAUUUUCACCAGUGUCAGUUUAGAAGCUCAGUAAACCUCCCUGGAAUUUGGGCGAUAUAAUAAUGCUGUGUACUUUUUUACUGCCUUCCAGUUCAACUGCUUUACCACUAUCAGCAAAAACGUCUUCACAAGAUGUUUCAUAGGGAGUAUAAGUGCGUAACCUCAGCACCAGAACAUCCACAAAAUUGUCAAUGUCAUAUAUUCAACCUCCACUUCCAGACUGCAUUGACCACAAGGUUUGUAAGAAAUGUAAUCAGCAACAGCCAGCUUCUCUACAAGCAAUUGUGCCACUGAGGUCCAUGGAAAUACAGCAGCUGCCCAGGAUGUUGUGUUAGGAAAUGGUGUAAUUCCUGCCCCUACCGGAAAGUGAUGAAGAAAUGGCUGUAUCUCAGAGAGAAUAAGUGAAGUUUUACAGAAAACAACCGGAGAAAAGUCAGAUUUGAAAGUGCUAUCUGUGGACGUAAAGACAUACGUUGUCUUAUUCACAGCCCUGCAACCUCAAAACCCUUCUCUGAGUUAGCGCAUUGCAGUUAGUGGCAAGCCAAGCUCACAAGCCAGGAGAGUUUGACAUCAGCAGGUGUUGUCUCAGAAAGGAGAGUGCAAUGUGACUCCAGAAAAGAGACAUUAAUUCCUCAAGCUCUUUGUAAAAUAAACAAAAUGUUGAUAUUUGUGGUAAGUUGAACAUCUGCGUUUCUUCAUGAGAAAUAAGCAAACUUUGAAAAUGCCAUUUUCCCCCCGUUGUAUUGAACUCAACAGUUGACAAAACUUGGCCGUCAAAAGUACUUCUAAAAGGAGUAACCAAUAAAGAGUGGUGUUUUUUAUUGUAUUGAGAAAACAGAUGUACUAACCUUUCUCCUUCUCUGUAACUUUUCCUUUUCCUUUUCCUUUUCCUUUUCCUUUUCCUUUCUCUCUCUCUCUCUCUUUGUGUGUGUGUGUGUGUGUGUAUGGCUUGCAAAUGUUCACCUCUUGCAGAAGACCAUUUCUGGUCUUGGUGUGUUUAUUUAUUGCCUCAAAUUGAAGGCUUACCUUCUCAAGGAACAGUGGCAUAGGAAGGAAUAAAAAAAAGAUCAAUCUCAGGAUAAAAGACUGCUGUUUUUUUGUUUUUUGUUUUUUUUUGUUGUUGUUCUUUUUUUUUUUUUUUUUUUUCAGGGGGAGUUUCAGCAAGAUCACCCAAACUUUAUGAAAAACCUUAGAACUAAAUUUUUAUGAACUAAACAUGGAAAUAUUUGUAAGUUUAAAUAGCGUCUGAGAAGUAUUUGUGUAAACCUGGGCUAUCAGAUUUUAUUUAACAUAAGAUGAAGAAGAGAAUGUUCCAGGAAACUGUUAUGAUAUAUCCAAAAAGUAACAUUUAAUUUCUAAACUUGAUUAACAAAGAACUUUGGAUACCCUUCAUAGAAUGAGGUGUGGUGUACAGGGUUUGUUCUCAUGGUGUCAUGGUUUACCCAUGGAAUGACGACCAAAGCUGAAAUUCUUUCUUGGGAUGAAAUGGGCAGUAUUAACCCUCAGCUCACCCAUAUUUUGGAUGAUUUUCCCAAUAGCUGGAGUGGUGAAACUUGCUGUUGUUGUGAGCUAAGCCCCAUAUUUCACACAAUCAGAGAUCAAAAUGCUGUAACUCAAAAGCUGAGGAGAGGAAACUGAAAGAACUUCACAGGCAGGAUCUGACAACAGUUCCCUGAAGCUGAACAUGUCACUUGUCACUGAUCCAGGCAAGAAAUGUUGGCCAUGUUGGCUGCUUUCUUCCACUAGGGAAGGGUCCAAUGCAUGCAGCCAGCACUGUUCUUUCAAAGCCAGCCUCACGUACCAUGGGCUGGCACAGAAUGGCCCUUGGACUGCCUAUAAGUUCGUUCUAACCCAACUGAAACAGGACCACCACCUCUAGUACACAAGGUCAGGGGAAAAAGCUUUUUAUUUUCAUGACUGCUUUUUGACUCUGGCCUGUUGACAUUAUUAAGUAUGUUUGAUUUGUUCUUACUUGAAUUAAAUGUUUUGUUCAGUUUCAAAUGAUCUGUUUUAAUUGGCUGAGUAAGUGGAAACAUUUCAGUUUGGGAUAGAUCCAAAACAAUAACCGCUAACUCUUUUUUCCUGUUGGCUACCGAACCAAAAAAAAAAAAAUUAUUUAAAUAUCUUCAGUUUUAACAUCAGCUACGGAAGGACUGGAUAGCAUUCUGCCUUUUUGUGCACCUGAAAACCAGUGUGAAAUGUGAAGCUGUGGAUGAAAACCAAAGUAAGCUCAAAGAAGAUCCCAGAGUAGAGAAGUGAGGGUAGUUUGCUCAUUUAGUUGUAUUUCUUUCUGAUACACUUGAAUUCAACCUGGAUUCAUAUCAGAGUCCUUUAAAAGUCAAUAUUACUUGGGAGUCAGAGUUUCUAUUAGUCUUAUAUAGAUAUAGCACUACAAUAUCAAUUCUUGAUUUUAAAACUAGUCUGUCUUUAGGUGAUGCACCUACUCUGGCUCAGAAUUAAAUAAUGUGAGCAGCAGGUUUAGAUUUAAACUUUGUGGCAAAUUUUAAACUUCUGAAAUGUCAGCAUAGCUUUUUGGAAUAGGGGUUCAAAUUUUAAGUCAGAAUCAGAGUUACAACUUCCAAGCCAGUUUGACCUCUGGUGACUUCAAAUGGGAUUUCCAGAUCAGCUACAGUAAAAUAUAAUGUGUAGGAAGAGAUAGGCUGAAGGAAUGACACAAUAUCUUUUCUUUAAGUGCUCUGAUAUUUUCCACAAAAAAAAAAAAAAAAAAAAAAGGAAAGAAAAGAAAAGAAUUUGACUAUUCAAACAUAAUUUGUCCAUUUUGUUAGUGGAUUUUAUUCUCAGUGUAUAGAAAACAGAGUAAUACUCAAGCUUCAUAGUUUCUCUAAGCAGGUGACUGGUAAUAUCUUAAAAGACAAGCAAUAUAAAGAAUUGCCUAAUACCUUUAAUUUAACUUGAAUAGUUUCCCCUAAAAACUUUGUGUCUUGCAGCAAAAUUUUAAUCUUACACUAAAGAAUAAACUAAGCAUAAUUUUUUCUUUCAGUGGAACAAUUGUGCAUAAUAUACUCAUCCUUGCACAAUAUAUACAUUUUGGGUUUUUUGUCAGAAAAAUGAGAGGCUAAUAACAGAACUGAUGGCUCUUUGCAGAAGGAAUAAUCAGGGUUUUUUUGUGUGUGUGUGUGUUUAAUCACUCCAGAUAAAGAAGUUGGAGUAAUUCUUUCUGAUAUUUAACGAUCAUCUUAAUUUAGUAGCCUUUGGCUUGUUGGUUUGUUUUUUUUUUUUGCACACUGAGUCACAUCACCAAAAAGAAGGUGAGUGGUGACGUACAAUAAAUUAAUACUUAUGCCUUGAAAAUAGAAAUGCAGAAUGACUACAUAUGCAACUAUUUAUGGAAAAUGUAACAUGAAAACUCAAUGUCCUUACAUACACUACAGGCAAAUAAUAGUUAUAAUACUCUACCAGACUCUUGGUAAGAUACUUUUGUUCACACCUCAAAAUGUACUGGUUGAGACUCCAGAAGGCAUUAUUCUUAAGAUCUCACUGGAUUUUUCUAAUCAAGAGUAUAUUGUAAAAAUAAUCUGAUCAUUCUGAAAUAAAGUUAGAAUAUGUUAAUCUAAUGUGAUAGGAUUGUUAGAAACGUUAACUGUGGGUUUGAGUCAUCAUUUUCCACUAUAAUUCUGAAUUUCCUUCAUUGGCAGCAAGCAUACCUAGAGCCUUUGCAUACUUGGCCAACAGUUCUGACAGAUACAACAGCUUUGAAGCUGGGAUUAAGAAUGUGAAAGAACAAUCCCAGUACCAGUCAUACAUGGACAAGGAUCAAAGUCUGCUGUAGAAAAAAAAUGCAUCUCUUGUGUCUGGAUUACUACUUGACUUACAAAAAAGGUGUUGGAAAAUGUGUUUUGUUUCCCUUGUAAACUCUGAAUGAAAAGUGGUUGGAUUUAUAAAGAAUAGCCUUACAUUUGGUUACAAUAUAAUGAAGGAUGAAGUAUGUGCUGGGUUAAGUUGAAUUUAUAAAAGUAGAUUAAAAUAUUUGGUUUUGUCUUGUGUUUAUUAUAGUUCCCAGAAGCUCAUAAAGACAAACAGUGAAGAAUUUUCCUUUAUUAGACUAUAAAAUUACCUGGUUUUGUACCUGAAAACAGUUAUCCACGAUGGGUGCUGGUUCAGGGAUAAAAGAAAACACAUGCAGUGGAGAAGGAUGAGGCAGUCAAGGAUGUACAGAGAACAGACAAAAGAGACAAAAAGGCUACUGAGGGGAAAAAAAAAAGGCAGAUGGUUAAAGGUUAGUUCAUACAAGAAAGCUGCAGAGAUGAGGUGACAGUGUGAGCAUACAAAAAAUCUGAAUAAGAAUGGGUCAAAUGAGCUAACAGGUAUUGAUCUUGUUACAGUUUAGUUUCAUUUUCCUUCAUCUGUUACCAGGGAACAGGUAUUUUUCCACUUUAUGCGUGGGGAUCAGAAGCACAGGGAGAUUUGCUUAAGGUCACCCAGGAAGUCUGCAGCAGAACAGGGAACUAAACCAGGAAUUUCUGAGUUCCACACCAAUAUGUCAUCCACGGGAGAACUCACUUCCCCUCUGUGGGAGUUUCUACUGCCAAACUGCAUUAGAUGAGAGAACUAGUCCCUUUUGUUUAUAUUUUUUUUUAAACAAAACUUAAUUAAGGCCAAAUUCAAUACAUCACAAAUAUAUCAAAUUACUGUGAAACAUUUAAUAAAUCUCUAUAUCCUAAUGACAGGAUUGGCUAAUGAUGAAAAUGAGAUAGCAAGAUUAAGGAAAGAGGCAAAUAAGAGUUACCUGAGGAGAUAAAUGAGGUUAAAUUAUGUUGCAAGAGAAAAUAAUUGAUAAAACUCUGAGAAGUUUUUCUGU